rnacentral:rRNA from 1 species
AGUCAGAGGCGAUGAAGGACGUGCUAAUCUGCGAUAAGCGUCGGUAAGGUGAUAUGAACCGUUAUAACCGGCGAUUUCCGAAUGGGGAAACCCAGUGUGUUUCGACACACUAUCAUUAACUGAAUCCAUAGGUUAAUGAGGCGAACCGGGGGAACUGAAACAUCUAAGUACCCCGAGGAAAAGAAAUCAACCGAGAUUCCCCCAGUAGCGGCGAGCGAACGGGGAGCAGCCCAGAGCCUGAAUCAGUGUGUGUGUUAGUGGAAGCGUCUGGAAAGGCGCGCGAUACAGGGUGACAGCCCCGUACACAAAAAUGCACAUGCUGUGAGCUCGAUGAGUAGGGCGGGACACGUGGUAUCCUGUCUGAAUAUGGGGGGACCAUCCUCCAAGGCUAAAUACUCCUGACUGACCGAUAGUGAACCAGUACCGUGAGGGAAAGGCGAAAAGAACCCCGGCGAGGGGAGUGAAAAAGAACCUGAAACCGUGUACGUACAAGCAGUGGGAGCACGCUUAGGCGUGUGACUGCGUACCUUUUGUAUAAUGGGUCAGCGACUUAUAUUCUGUAGCAAGGUUAACCGAAUAGGGGAGCCGAAGGGAAACCGAGUCUUAACUGGGCGUUAAGUUGCAGGGUAUAGACCCGAAACCCGGUGAUCUAGCCAUGGGCAGGUUGAAGGUUGGGUAACACUAACUGGAGGACCGAACCGACUAAUGUUGAAAAAUUAGCGGAUGACUUGUGGCUGGGGGUGAAAGGCCAAUCAAACCGGGAGAUAGCUGGUUCUCCCCGAAAGCUAUUUAGGUAGCGCCUCGUGAAUUCAUCUCCGGGGGUAGAGCACUGUUUCGGCAAGGGGGUCAUCCCGACUUACCAACCCGAUGCAAACUGCGAAUACCGGAGAAUGUUAUCACGGGAGACACACGGCGGGUGCUAACGUCCGUCGUGAAGAGGGAAACAACCCAGACCGCCAGCUAAGGUCCCAAAGUCAUGGUUAAGUGGGAAACGAUGUGGGAAGGCCCAGACAGCCAGGAUGUUGGCUUAGAAGCAGCCAUCAUUUAAAGAAAGCGUAAUAGCUCACUGGUCGAGUCGGCCUGCGCGGAAGAUGUAACGGGGCUAAACCAUGCACCGAAGCUGCGGCAGCGACGCUGAUGCGUUGUUGGGUAGGGGAGCGUUCUGUAAGCCUGCGAAGGUGUGCUGUGAGGCAUGCUGGAGGUAUCAGAAGUGCGAAUGCUGACAUAAGUAACGAUAAAGCGGGUGAAAAGCCCGCUCGCCGGAAGACCAAGGGUUCCUGUCCAACGUUAAUCGGGGCAGGGUGAGUCGACCCCUAAGGCGAGGCCGAAAGGCGUAGUCGAUGGGAAACAGGUUAAUAUUCCUGUACUUGGUGUUACUGCGAAGGGGGGACGGAGAAGGCUAUGUUGGCCGGGCGACGGUUGUCCCGGUUUAAGCGUGUAGGCUGGUUUUCCAGGCAAAUCCGGAAAAUCAAGGCUGAGGCGUGAUGACGAGGCACUACGGUGCUGAAGCAACAAAUGCCCUGCUUCCAGGAAAAGCCUCUAAGCAUCAGGUAACAUCAAAUCGUACCCCAAACCGACACAGGUGGUCAGGUAGAGAAUACCAAGGCGCUUGAGAGAACUCGGGUGAAGGAACUAGGCAAAAUGGUGCCGUAACUUCGGGAGAAGGCACGCUGAUAUGUAGGUGAGGUCCCUCGCGGAUGGAGCUGAAAUCAGUCGAAGAUACCAGCUGGCUGCAACUGUUUAUUAAAAACACAGCACUGUGCAAACACGAAAGUGGACGUAUACGGUGUGACGCCUGCCCGGUGCCGGAAGGUUAAUUGAUGGGGUUAGCGCAAGCGAAGCUCUUGAUCGAAGCCCCGGUAAACGGCGGCCGUAACUAUAACGGUCCUAAGGUAGCGAAAUUCCUUGUCGGGUAAGUUCCGACCUGCACGAAUGGCGUAAUGAUGGCCAGGCUGUCUCCACCCGAGACUCAGUGAAAUUGAACUCGCUGUGAAGAUGCAGUGUACCCGCGGCAAGACGGAAAGACCCCGUGAACCUUUACUAUAGCUUGACACUGAACAUUGAGCCUUGAUGUGUAGGAUAGGUGGGAGGCUUUGAAGUGUGGACGCCAGUCUGCAUGGAGCCGACCUUGAAAUACCACCCUUUAAUGUUUGAUGUUCUAACGUUGACCCGUAAUCCGGGUUGCGGACAGUGUCUGGUGGGUAGUUUGACUGGGGCGGUCUCCUCCUAAAGAGUAACGGAGGAGCACGAAGGUUGGCUAAUCCUGGUCGGACAUCAGGAGGUUAGUGCAAUGGCAUAAGCCAGCUUGACUGCGAGCGUGACGGCGCGAGCAGGUGCGAAAGCAGGUCAUAGUGAUCCGGUGGUUCUGAAUGGAAGGGCCAUCGCUCAACGGAUAAAAGGUACUCCGGGGAUAACAGGCUGAUACCGCCCAAGAGUUCAUAUCGACGGCGGUGUUUGGCACCUCGAUGUCGGCUCAUCACAUCCUGGGGCUGAAGUAGGUCCCAAGGGUAUGGCUGUUCGCCAUUUAAAGUGGUACGCGAGCUGGGUUUAGAACGUCGUGAGACAGUUCGGUCCCUAUCUGCCGUGGGCGCUGGAGAACUGAGGGGGGCUGCUCCUAGUACGAGAGGACCGGAGUGGACGCAUCACUGGUGUUGGGUUGUCAUGCCAAUGGCACUGCCCGGUAGCUAAAUGCGGAAGAGAUAAGUGCUGAAAGCAUCUAAGCACGAAACUUGCCCCGAGAUGAGUUCUCCCUGACCCUUUAAGGGUCCUGAAGGAACGUUGAAGACGACGACGUUGAUAGGCCGGGUGUGUAAGCGCAGCGAUGCGUUGAGCUAACCGGUACUAAUGAACCGUGAGGCUUAACCUU